UACGGGGGGGGCAAGCGUUGUUCGGAAUUACUGGGCGUAAAGGGUUUGUAGGUGGUCUGCUAAGUCAGACGUGAAAUCCCUCAGCUUAACUGGGGAACUGCGUCUGAGACUGGUGGACUUGAGGGCAGGAGAGGAACGCGGAAUUCCAGGUGUAGCGGUGAAAUGCGUAGAUAUCUGGAGGAACACCGGUGGCGAAGGCGGCGUUCUGGACUGUUUCUGACACUGAAAAACGAAAGCCAGGGGAACAAACGGA
rnacentral:rRNA from 1 species